UACGAGGGGGGCAAGCGUUGUUCGGAAUUAUUGGGCGUAAAGGGCGCGUAGGCGGUGCGGUAAGUCUGAUGUGAAAUCUCCGGGCUCAACUCGGAGUCUGCAUCAGAAACUGCCGUGCUCGAGUGUGGGAGAGGUGAGUGGAAUUCCCGGUGUAGCGGUGAAAUGCGUAGAUAUCGGGAGGAAUACCUGUGGCGAAAGCGGCUCACUGGACCACAACUGACGCUGAUGCACGAAAGCUAGGGGAGCAAACAGG
rnacentral:rRNA from 1 species